UUAACUAUUAGGCAUAGCAACAAGACUCUGAUUGGUCGAAAUCGCUGCGGCCGUUACUGAAUUUUCAAAUAGAACAGAGAGCGGGAAGCAGACUACUUUUACCCUUUUAUCAACAGAAAAGCUCUUUGAGAAUGGAUUGUAAGUGUUAAUCUUGAAGACGACGAGAUUUAAAGCCAUGGCAACACAAGAAUUGACGGGCCGAAGUCGCAGCAGCCGUUAACGGAAUUUUCAAACAUCGGAGAGCGGGAAGCAGUCUAGCGCCAGCACAUCCAGGACUUCAACUUCUUUAUCGUUAGAGGAACUUCACAAGCUAAAGAGAGGCUUGACUCGAAUUAUCAGACGAAGAGAGGAGGAAAUUCAAAGAUCACGAAGAUGAUGGAGAAACUGUCAGUGCUGGUCUCAGGGAUAGCACAGCUUUUUUGAGCUUUUCUUGUGAAGACUGUGUCUACUGUUGGGGAGGAUGCUAUUUCAUGCCCAUGUGAAGACUUUGCAGGACCAGAAGACAACCAUUCAGGAAGAACCAGCGCACACCAUAUCCCACUGUGCAGAUUUUGGGAACAUCUGACUGGACACAAGUCUUCAGUGAGAAGAGAAUCUUCAGAAUUGUACAAAUGGAGGGAUCUGAAAUUUGCCGAGCAGUUGAGGUGAAGGAUGUUGUUUUUUGAAAAUGUUAAAUAAAUGCAGGGAUGUUGUGUGAAAAGUGGGGGAAAAGUUUUCUAGUUUUGUUACAUAAUGUAACAUUUUAGUGUAAUUGUAUUUUAUGUACUGUAACAUUUAAU